rnacentral:rRNA from 1 species
GACGAACGCUGGCGGCGUGCUUAACACAUGCAAGUCGAACGGAAAGGCCCUGCUUUUGUGGGGUUCUCGAGUGGCGAACGGGUGAGUAACACGUGAGUAACCUGCCCUUGACUUUGGGAUAACUUCAGGAAACUGGGGCUAAUACCGGAUAGGAGCUCCUGCUGCAUGGUGGGGGUUGGAAAGUUUCGGCGGUUGGGGAUGGACUCGCGGCUUAUCAGCUUGUUGGUGGGGUAGUGGCUUACCAAGCCUUUGACGGGUAGCCGGCAUGAGAGGGGGACCGGGCACAUUGGGACUAAGAGACGGCGCAGAGGCCAACGGGAGGCAGCAGUGGGGAAUAUGGCACAAUGGGCGGAAGCGUGAUGCAGCAACGCCGCGUGCGGGAUGACGGCCUUCGGGUUGUAAACCGCUUUCGCCUGUGACGAAGCGUGAGUGACGGUAAUGGGUAAAGAAGCACCGGCUAACUACGUG